UUUGAUCAUUGAACCAUCUAAAGUUUAAAUUUCAGGUCAUUCCAUCAAAUUUAAUCGUUAACUAUGUGUGACGACCCCACCUUCUCAUAAGGCAUACUCUAGAAGUUAGUGGACCGCCUGUCUGACUCUCGUCAGGGGUCACUCACUUACAUUAACUUCAGAAAUAACAUUACCAGUGAACAACUGAACAUUCACUCUUAGGUACAACUCUAUUCAGUUUGAAACAUAAAUUUGUCCAAUAAAAAAAAUAAAAUACAUGUUCUAAACAGCCAUUCUUAAUAUCACACCAACCUCAAAACAAAAGAUUCAAUCAUCUCAAAAUAUAAAAGAAACUAUGACUACAAUAUAUACACGGUAACGGAUCUUCCCAAAAUAACUUUCUAAUUCAAUCCAAUCACUCUUCGAUCUCCAGCUCCUGUAAGGAAAACAAAGCUAAAAGGUUGAGCUAAAGCUCAGUGAGAUUUGCCGAACAAGUAACAUUCAAUUAAACACUUAAAUAAGUAGCAAAAUUAAACAAUUAAGGAAACACUUCACUGAAUGAAUUAGAGAACACUUCACUGAACGAUCACUUUUAAAAGGAUACGGUGCUCGCAUUAAAGCCACUUCAAUGCACUACACACUCCACCGAACUCUUUCUUAUAACCUCCAAAACAAUAAACACUUCCCUCACUUAGAUGGCCAUAUCAAUAUCAAUAAUCUGCUACUCCGUGGUAAUACUCGAGCGUACCAAUACACUUACCCAAAGCUACCGUCCUAUCCGACCAAACCCUUUUGCUGGCUCGAAUAGUCCAUUGAACAAAGGUUUUUGGGACCCAGUUCAGCCGGUGUGGUAAAAUACACACACGGCUUACAGUCAUGCACACUUACAAUAACAUUUGAUCAAUUAUCAACCUUCAACCUCAAACUCAGUCAAGUGCGAUAAAGUACACUUCCGACUUAGAAGGUGAGGGACAAUUAAGAUACACUUUACAAUUGAGUCACUAGCAAUAUUUCAUAAUAAGUACAUUUAUCACAUAAUUUCACUUAAGUAAGUAUAAACAGUUAAACACACAAAUUCGGAAAUACUCACCGUUAAAUGUCGAUUAAGUUUCGCUUUCUGGGUUAAACCCUUGAUCACUCUCUAUUCCUGAGGUAAAAUACAACUACAAUCAUUCAGGUAUUCUUAAUGUGAAUUCUAAUAAGUUUAUUUAGAGUUUUAGGAUUCUUUAAACAAAGUUCAACUAAUCCAAGCAGUCUAGUACUCUUAACACUUCCAUUUGAUUCACACUUUUAAGGUUAGGAAUUUUAUGUGCAGGCCCAAACAUAAGUUCUAAAGUGUAAAGAGAGAAGUUUUAAGCGUUAAAAUCUCACCGAUUUAAUGUUUAAAUCACUAGAAACCAAGUUCCUUAGCUUAUCAAAUAAGAUGUGAAAUUCCAGCAAUUCUUUCUUACAUUUCUCUUCGAGAUUUAUCAAAUUUAUCAACUCAAACAAGGGAGAUAUACAUAUACUCCAAAUUUAAGGUCGGUGAGGUGUUUAAACUAAGGUUAAACUAUUUUCAACCCAAAUUUAGAUAUUAAGGCUAGUGAACUUUUCAUUCCUUUCCUUUUUAAGCUAAACCAGAUUCUAGUUUGCUUGUUGUUUAAAUUUGCUCUAAUUCACCAGCUUUUCAAGUGUUAAAAUCAAUAAGACGUACAUGAAGCAAACAUGCUCAAUGCUUUGUUCUACAAUAAAUAAAAAGAGAUAUAACAGAUACACGGGAAUAUGAAAACUAGAGGGUACAUUUCACGUAUAGCACUCUUUCUCCAACAAGGAUGGUGAGUGUGGGGUGCUUGCUGAAAAUGCCUUACUGAUAAACUCCAAGCCACGAGACCACAAAUCCUGUGCAAGGUCUAAUAACCCCUAGGCCAGAGUGAUGUUUGAUGUAGAGGUGCAAACGAGUCGAGUUCGAGUUGAGUUUUGGCUAAUCAAGCCGAGCUCGAGUUAAUUUUGUGAAACUCGAACUCGAUCUCGAGCUCGACGAGUUCAAAAUAUCAAGCUCGAGCUCGAGCUCGAGUCAAAUUCAAGUCGAGCUCGAGCUUAAAAAAUAAAAAAAUUAUUAUUAUUAUUUUAUUUUUAAAAAAUAAAAAAUUAUUAUUUAUUUUUAAAAAUAAAUAAAAUAAUAAUUUUUUAAUAAAUAAUAAAAUAUUAGGAAAAUAUAUGUAAUUUUACUAUUAAAAUAAAAAAUAAAAAAUAAAUAUAUAAUUGAGCUCGCGAGCCAACGAACUUAAUGUUUUUUAGUUCGAGCUCGAGAUCGACUUAAUUGACUCGAGAUCGACUCGAACUCGAUUUUGACGAGCUCAAAUCGAGCUCGUAUUCGAGCCGCUCGCGAGCGGCUCGAUUCGCGAAACACCCCUAGUUUGAUGCAUGAUAAGAGUAGCAUAUUGGCAAGCAUUGAAUGACCCCGAGAAAUCCAUUAAGAGAAUUAGUUAGAUCAGCAGCUAGUGGUGGUAUAAAAAUGUGAUUGCUCUUGGUAGGGCAAGCAUGAACAGUCUGUGCCAUGCAGGCAGUGAAGAAACAAUAUGCUUCCAUGAUAUUAUCUAAUGAACAAUGGUAAGGCUAGCUGGCAACUGUACUCAGGCAGAUCCAUUGAAUUCGAUGCGAAUCCUAACUCGCGUAACAUAUGCUACACCACAUAUCUUGUCAUCAGCUAGCUAAAUCAUUCAACCAUGUAGCAGUUUAGUACGCAGCACUUCCUCCAUAAUUUCUUCAGUUUUAACUCCAACUCAACAUGCAAAAAUAUAAUUAUCAGUCUACAAAGUAAUCUUGAACAGCAGACAUAAAAAUUUGCAGCUAAAAUUCCAAAGAAAAGCUGAUAUGAAGUUCAUUUCCUCUCUCGGCGAAAGCUGGGAAUUCCAGCAAGAAACCUGCCAUAAAACUCAAAUUUUUACUAUAGAAAUUCACAUGCAUCACCCCAGAAACAUUAUGCAGAGCAUAAUGCAUGAGUCCUAGUCACAAUCUAGCAAAACUUUUAGAGAAAUAACCAAAAUUGCAGCUUUUCCAUCCCAAUCUGCUGUCUUGAAAUUCCAGCUUUAGUGUUGCUUUCAAAGUUCAUUUUUUUGCUUGCUUUUAGCACUCAAAUAUUACAUGCAUGAUCAGAUUAAGGUCACCGAUGGUGCACCAAACAAGUCCUAACCAGUUGCAACAAAACUUUUGGCCAGAACCGAAAUUCUUUUCAAGUUUACCCCAUCGGCAAUCAUCCUUCAUUGUAUCAAGAAUUCCAGCCAGCAGUUCAUCAUAAUUUCAUCUUAACAGGUUUUAUUUGAAGAUAUAAUCUGUAUGUAUGCCAAGAUAUAUGGCUAGAGAGUGUAUAUAAGAUACGCAACAUAAGAAACAACCAGAAAAUUACAGCUUAGCUCAUCAAAUAUCGGAUAACAAUUUCAAACGAACAUUUCCAGCUUUGUUGAUCUUUGCUUUCUAGAAAGUUUCUUUCUUUACUUGGUUCUAACUCAGCCUAAAAGACUACUAGCAAAACGCAAAAGAAAUGGAAAGAAAGGCUAUAGUUUACCUCUGGCUUAAGUGUUAGGAAUUGCAAACGUAAUCAGUUUCUCUUCCCAACUUUUGUGCCCUCGAGUGCUAGCUCCAGCCUCCCUUACUUUCCUUACCAUAUUUCUUCUUGUCCCUGGGUUAAUUCGUGAAGAAACCAACCAAGCUCCCACUCUCACUUCCUCAGUUUCGCUCUCUUUUCUCACUCUCUCUGUUUUCUCUCGAUGCUAACUUGGCAAGGAGAGGUGCUACAGAUUUUGUCUUGCUCUUUGCCACCGCCCAAGUUUUGUAGUUGGUUUCUCUUUUUCCUUCACUCGGUCACCGCUUGGAUUUGGCUAACCAUUGGCAGCUACUUUCUCCUCUUAUAUUCACUUAGCUCUCUGCUUAGAAGACUUAAGGAUCAAAAGG
rnacentral:lncRNA from 1 species